GAUGAACGCUGGCGGCGUGCCUAAUACAUGCAAGUCGAGCGAACAGACGAGGAGCUUGCUCCUCUGACGUUAGCGGCGGACGGGUGAGUAACACGUGGAUAACCUACCUAUAAGACUGGGAUAACUUCGGGAAACCGGAGCUAAUACCGGAUAACAUGUUGAACCGCAUGGUUUAACAGUGAAAGACGGUCUUGCUGUCACUUAUAGAUGGAUCCGCGCCGCAUUAGCUAGUUGGUAAGGUAACGGCUUACCAAGGCAACGAUGCGUAGCCGACCUGAGAGGGUGAUCGGCCACACUGGAACUGAGACACGGUCCAGACUCCUACGGGAGGCAGCAGUAGGGAAUCUUCCGCAAUGGGCGAAAGCCUGACGGAGCAACGCCGCGUGAGUGAAGAAGGUCUUCGGAUCGUAAAACUCUGUUAUUAGGGGAGAACAAAUGUGUAAGUAACUAUGCACGUCUUGACGGUACCUAAUCAGAAAGCCACGGCUAACUACGUG
rnacentral:rRNA from 1 species